CAGAUUUAACACGCUAGCUUGGCAGGAAGUUUCCAACUGGACUCUGGCCUGUGAACAAUGAGUGACAAACACAGAAUCAAACUUAAUAGCAGCAUUCAGAGAAAAAGUCAUAAAGGGUGAAACAAAGAAGAUAAAACAGCAGUCAUACCCAAGGGGGAAGGAUACCACAUCACAACCUGGGAUCAGCUGGAAACCGGAGAAGUGUGAACUGGCACAGAAUGAAGUGAAAUAGAACCAAUGAAAUGACUUACACAAUAACAAUGAUUGUGAAAGGCUUAACAACUCUGAUCAGUGAAAUGAUCAACCACAAAUCCAGAGGACUAAUGAUGAAUCACGCUACCCACAAGGCGUACAUUUUUGGACACGGCUAAUGUGGGGAUUGCUAUGGCUUCCUUGUGGCUAUUUGUUACAAAGGCUUUGUUUUUCUUUCUUUUUUUUAAUUAAGGGAGGGAGAGGUGGAGAGGGGAGUUGAGAUAGGGUCCUCUCUCAAAAAAAAUCUCUCUGCCUUGGGGCUAGUCUGAAUUUGUGAAAAAUCUGAAUUAUAUAAUAAACACCUUUUAAAAUCUUUA